GUUUGCUUCAGCUUCAGCUUCAGCUUCCAGAGUCCUUGGAAAGUUAAACAGAAUACAUGAUAUCACUGACAACUCACCUUUCUUGAAAGGAGCUGCUGCCCUGCCUAUGAUAAACCACAUCAAGAAAUAAGUACGUAUUAUACACUAUAGCUUCAACAGUUUUAAAUUAACCUGUACUUUAUUCUUCAAAUCAUUCUUUUCCCCAGAAAACCAAAAAGCUAAGGAUACUUAGAGAAUAACUCGUAGUGAACUUAAUGUGUUUUACUUCUGCAUAAAUAAGCUAAAAUUUUCACUGCAUUUAUGAGCACUAGAAAAGGGCUAUAGGUCAA
rnacentral:lncRNA from 11 species